rnacentral:rRNA from 1 species
GAUGAACGCUAGCGGGAGGCCUAACACAUGCAAGCCGAGCGGGAUUUGUUGGUUAGCUUGCUAACUAACAAUGAGAGCGGCGUACGGGUGCGUAGCACGUGUGCAACCUGCCUUUAUCUGGGGGAUAGCCUUUCGAAAGGAAGAUUAAUACCCCAUAACAUAUUGAUUGGCAUCAGUUAAUAUUGAAAGCUCCGGCGGAUAGAGAUGGGCACGCGUAAGAUUAGCUAGUUGGUGAGGUAACGGCUCACCAAGGCUGCGAUCUUUAGGGGGCCUGAGAGGGUGAUCCCCCACACUGGUACUGAGACACGGACCAGACUGCUACGGGAGGCAGCAGUAAGGAAGAUUGGACAAUGGGUGAGAGCCUGAUCCAGCCAUCCCGCGUGAAGGACUAAGGACCUAGGGUUUGUAAACUUCUGUUAUACAGGGAUAAACCUACUCUCGUGAGGGUAGCUGAAGGUACUGUAUGAAUAAGCACCGGCUAACUCCGUG